AGCUGGAUUCGCUAGUAAUCGCGCAUCAGCCACGGCGCGGUGAAUACGUUCCCGGGCCUUGUACACACCGCCCGUCAAGCCAUGGAAGCCGGGGGUGCCUGAAGUACGCGACCGCAAGGAGCGUCCUAAGGUAAAACCGGUGACUGGGGCUAAGUCGUAACAAGGUAGC
rnacentral:rRNA from 1 species